rnacentral:lncRNA from 1 species
AGAUCCAGGCUUGACUCUUACUUGGAAAAACUGCCCUAACCUGAAAAAACUGUAGGGUAGAAUUCAAGGUUUAAAAAUAAUGGCCAAAAGACUGCAUUUCACUCAAGAAAUAGCCUAGAAAGGCUGAAGUCAUGAAGAGCAGGAAAGAAUAAAGCAAGAAGAAAAGGUCACCAUAGGAUCAGGCUGUCUGUUUAAAUACUGAAAAGACAAGGACCAAUAGCAUAUUGAAGUUCCUGGGCCAGGGAUCCAGUUUGCACUACAGCAGUGACCCGAGCCAUGGCAGUAACAAUGCAAGAUCCUUAACCAGCUGAGCCCCCAGAUUCAAAGACCCAAGAUUCAACAGCAAUGAGCCUGAAGAUGAACAUGUAAAGGAUAAGAAGUCUAUGAGGUUGUCAGGCCCUGACCCUUAGACUGUCCCCCCAGGGAAAGAGUAGCCAUGGCAGCCUCAGGUGCCCUCAAUGGCUCUGGAGGGCCGUGGAGGGGGACUUCCAGAAUAUAUCGUAAAGCGGUUGGCUCUGGGAGGGAAUGAUAGAGUGGGUUGUAUGAAGUUCUGCUCAGCAGGAAAAAGAGGGAGAGAGAGAGAAGAAUCCAUUUCUGAGCACUGAGAAGUAUCAAAAUAUUUGGGUAACAGAACCCUGAGAAAGACUGGAACUCCUACAAGAGAAGUGGAUCGGUGCUUUAGAGCAUCACGACUGGGGUUCUAAGGUAAUGCCACAUAAUAUUGAGGUAGAAAUAUUAGUCUCUAAUAUUGAGACAGAAAUAUUUAGAUUAUAGAGUUAGGGAUAUAGUCAGCCAAAAUACCUAAUAAUAUUAACUGUUGCUUAAUAACAGGUAAUUCCAUCAUUCCUCUCUGCAGACACAUUGAAUAUUGAUUUAAGAGAAAAGCCAUGGUCUGGCCCAUUUUGCUUUGGGAGGUUCAUGUGACUCUUUACUGAUAGCAAAUGGCAAAGGUAAACCAUGUAUGCUCAAUACCAUCAGUAAAGGGAGUCUUGGUAAUAUGUUACCUAAAGUGGCUAUGAGUGUUCUGUUUCUGGUACUGUCAAUAGGACACAUGUAUUAUCCCUUUCCCAACUUUUACUUUCAGUUUUAUUCUUGUCCAGUAAUAGACUUGCUCUUUAAUUUUGCCACCAUAGGACUCAAGAGUCUAAACUUGAAAAAAAAAAAAAUUUUUUUUUUUCUUUGUUUACUUUGUUUUCGUUUCUAACCUUGUUUUGGCCUCACCGAACUUCAGUAAUCACUGAAGACUGUUAACAUCCUUUGGCUGAGAUGGUUAUUUUUUAUUUCAGAUUUAGGGGAUCAAUUUCAUAGAUUUUCCUCUUGGGUAGGGUUUUCCUGUGAUCACUAAAUCCUGCCAGUGGUGGGCGGGAGCAGCGAGGGUGAGAAAAAAGGGAGUUGGAGGGAGGGAGAAUGGAAGGAACAAAGGGAAGAAAAGAGGAAUGUCAGGUCAGUUGAGGUUCAAAUUGUCACCCACAUUCCAAAGCUCUCCUGAGCCUUGAUUUCCAUACUUAGAAGAAGAUGAUGCAGUGUAAUGGUUAAAUUAAAUAUCAGAUUAAAAUUCUUAGUAUCUGGUGAGAGUCUACUUAGUUCAGAUGGCUGCGUUUUUGCUGUAACCUCACCAAGUGGAAGGGUCUCGUUCUCUCUCUCUUUUUUUUUUUUUUCUCAAGUUCUUGUGCCAGGGAUUGAACCUGUGCCACAGCACUGACAAAGCCCAAUCUUUAAGCAGCUGAGCCACUAGGGAACUCCCUCUGGGAUCCCUUUUAUAAGGGCGCUAGUCUUGUUCCUGGAGGAUCUGCCCUGAAGACUUAAUGGUCUCCUAAAGGGCCCAUCUCCAAAUACCCUCACUCAGGGCAUCAGGUUUCAACAUAUGAAUUUAGGGGGACAGAAACAUUCAAUCUAUAGCCAUUUGUUUUGGUUGAAAUAAACUUUCCAAAAUCUGUAACAUACGAAAAGCAGGAGGAGAAGGAAGAAGAGAAGGGGUAUUGGAGAAAUUUAAGGGCUCUUUUAGAAGUGAAAAUACAGGCCACCUCAAAAGGCACUGGAGUAAGAACAGGCCAGCCACCUAGAAACAGGGCAACUUGUCACUCUGACUUUUCUUUUCUGGGCUCUUAACAUUCUCUUGCCUGAAUCCAGCUCAUUUUCUCCUGAGUCUGCAGCCUGGCUGCCUUCCCAGCUUCCCCUUGCUACUGCCCACCCACAGUUACCCCUCAGGGCCUUCCAUUUAAAGUGCCCAUGGGGAUAUUGGAGGCUGGGCCCUGACAUCUAAUGCCUGUAGGAGAAAACAGAGGUAGGAGGAAGACGAAGGCCAGGGGAAAAGAUUAGGGAAAGAAAUGUGAGAGCAAUUAGAAAAAAGAAGACUGGGAUUAAAGUGAGAAACAAGACUUUGAACAGUGACAAAUAAUGUCAUGAUAUCUCACAUUAAAAAUUAAAGAAAAAAAUUUAUUGGCAAUGCCCAAUGUGGCUUAGCAGGUUAAGAACCUGACUAGUGUCUGUGAGCAUGCGGGUUCAAUCCCUGACCUCACUCAGUGGGUUAAGGACCAGACGUUGCCACAAGCUGCGGUGCAGGUCACAGAUGUGGUUGGGAUCUGGACAUUGCAGCAGCUGCGGUGUAGGCCAGCAGCUAUAGCUCAGAUUCAGUCCCUAGCCUGGAACUUCCAUUCCACAGGUUCGGCCCUAAAAAGAAAAAAAAAAAGUUGUGAAUUUUUAAAUUAAGGCAUAAUUGAACUUAGAGCUACUUUAUAUUUGCUUUUCAUUUCUAUAAAAAUUGCUCAAAUUCUGCUAAAAUAUAUUGAUACAGGAACAUAUUUUUGCAGUCUCUAACCUCCUCCCUUCCUUCUACCUUUUUAACAGUUCUUGCCCAAUUUUUUGAGAAAUUGUAGCCAGGUACCUGUUCUAAAAAGAAAAAAUGUUUCCAAGCCAACCUGUAAAAAUUAUGAUGUAAAAUCUAUGCAGCAGUGUUUUAUGCUCUAAUGCGUGGAGCGUUAUUGGCUUUAUCUUUCCAAUUCUGAGGUAAAAAUACAAGCUGGACAACUUCUAAUUUUUGUAAUAAAAAUGUGCUGCAUGCAUGUCCAUAUAAUUAAGUAUUAAACUUCACCAUAAACAGGGAGAUUUUCAACCAUAUAAUAGGUUGUAAUGUGCUGUUAUAUUUUAGUUCUCUGUCUCAGGAGCUCUUGUUUUUGCUGUUGUUUUGAUGUUAUUAGUUUUGUUUUGUUUUUCAGAAUAAAUCUGUGUCAAAGAAAAAACAAAA